AGUGCUGCAUUAAACUUUGCAGCUGAAGACAUAGAAACUUUGAGAUUAAUCUGGUGCAGAAACACUGUGAAUUGAUCCUUACCCGAUAACAUUUCUGCUUUUAACAGACUCCUUAAUGAAAAUUCAUAAGAACCUCUUCAGAUAAAUAAGGAUACAUUCUGAUCUUUAUUGUACUGGUAUGAAUUUGGAGCAACUUCAAUGAAACUAGUGGAAUUGCUCUGGAUUUACUAAUAGCGUAAAUGAAACCAAAAUGAAAACCAGAGACUUUAGAAAGACUUAAGCCACCAAUUCAGCUUUCUGAAUUGGAAGCUCGCUUAUAAAGUUUAUAGUACAAAACUUCUCUCUUCCUCCCUCUUUACAAUAACAUCUUUCUUAACAGUUCUUACUAAAUCUGCAUGAAAUAAGCUGCAUGAAAUAAAUGGUCAGGAUGUUUAAAUUUCCACCCUGUACCACCUGCAAAUUACAGGCCAGAUCCAUUUGCUUGAUUGAGGCAAGUAAGAAUCAUUACCACAUUGGUCAGCUGAUUUUUCCCUUCUUAAACACCUGCAAAUGCAAGUCACCUGGGACUUUGAACCUAUUAAGGUUCUUAUAAUUGAGACAAGGGUAAAAUAGUUAGUAAAAUGGUACAUGAACAGAAAGAUGAGAGGGGGAGAGAGAAAGACACUCUGGUUGGAUGACAAGAAAUCAUAUAACCAUAUUUGCAACUGAGCUUUGGGAGCAUGGUCUUUAUAAUGGGGUUAGCUAAUCUAGAUAAUAAUAAGGAUAGGAAAGUCAGCAAUCAUAAUCAUAUUUAAUGGAUUCCAGAUGGAGAAGUAUAAUUGUUCUCAUUAUCAUUGUGAAAACUCCAAGGAAAUACAAUCCCAAGAUACUUUACCUUGACAAGCAACCAGGAACAAUAUCAACAUCAAGUCAUGGGAUUUGGAGAAAGAGCUGUGUUGCUGUUUAUGAAUCACUGUUGGAUGAGACUCUAAGAACUGAAGAGGAGUAAUCAGUAAUAAACCUCAAACCUUUGGAGGCUAUUGGCUGCCCAUCAGCACUGCAAAUUUUGGGUACUCUACUUUGUGUACCCAAACAGAAAGAUAUUGGGAGUACCUCUGAGGAUGGGCAUUCCCAUUUACCAUGAGCUACCAUGGGAGCAUUCCCCCACUGAGGUGGGUCUCUAGGCUGGCAUAUGCCUAAAGAAACAAGUCACCAUGAAGCAACACAAGCAGAGGCAAUAUGUGGUUUUUUUACUCUGCAAACAAAAGCAUAC